UCACGAUUAAGGUUUCGUUUGAGGACGCGGUUAGAGACAGUUAGCUUGUGGACCUGGAAGCUUUGCAACCAAUUGUUUUGCAGGUGUGUGAUUCGAGUCAGUGUUGCUCUUGGCCAGCAGAUGAGAUUACUUGUGUUAGGGUGGAAGGCAUUCGAUUUGUUAGAAACUAAAUAACAUUUUGAGUUUUUAUUUAAUCAUGUACUGUUUUAAUUAAAAUUUUCCGCUGCGUAUUUCAAGUAAAGUCUUAUUUUUAAA